AUGCCCUUUGCCUUCUAUUUACCACUAUAUCUUAUGUGCUUGGUUUUAGAUUUGCAACGAUCAGCACUGUACCCAAGAAGGAGCACAGUGGUUUAUUCCGAAGAGGCAAUUACCGUGAAAAUGGAUCUGAAACUGGUGGCUGUAUCCCUCCUGUUACUACUUCUCUGCACAGACGUCGCCAGCGUUCCACUGCGAAAGCGAGAAGCUCAGGAGAAGGAAACCCCAACCCAAAUUCCGGAGGCAGCCAAGGGGUUCUGGGAUAAAGUUGUGUCCACUUCUCAGCAGUGGAUAGAAAAAGUCCAAACUGACGUCGGAGACUUCUUCAAAAAUACUGGAAAUACUAUGAGCAUCUACCUAGGCAUACUUUCUGACCAGGCUUUACAUAUGUGGCAAUAGGAUUCCUAAUCCACUUGAGGUAACAUUUGUGAGGUGAAUGCUUCCGCUCCUCUUCGUACAUUUUGGGAGCAAUGCAAAUAAAGACCCAUUUCUGCUGUUCUAGGAC
rnacentral:lncRNA from 1 species